AUGUUCAUUAUACAAGCCAUAUAUGUCUCCUAUAUAGCUUGUUUAUACCCUCAUAUGUCAUAUAUGUUCAUUAUACAAGCCAUAUAGGUCUCCUAUAUAGUUUCUUUAUCCAUAUGUAACCCACAUGAAAAGAGUGGUUACUAAACAUGUUUAUGUGAUUUAGAGGUGUAAUACCACGCCCCACCACAGAGUGGCGCACUUGCUUUAUAUGUGUCUCGGGUCACGUUUUUCCCAGUCCCGGUUAAGAUGUCGAGCUGAAAGGCCCGUCCGAACGACCUGAAAAGCUGUGAACAAACUAAAGAAACUGUAUUUAAUCCUGUGUGUGUGAGAAGCUAACGGAGGAGCGUUCCUGUCUGUGGGCCCUCUCAUUGUGAACUCCGAGGCUACAAUGAAGAAGUGGCCGGGAGUGUCCAGCGGCCAACUUGGGGCAGCCAUCAACCAAAAGCUGACAGAGCUCCGAAGAGCACACAAAAAAUAAUAAUAUUUGGCUAUCUUUUUAUUUUUCAUUGUAUUUGAUUUUUGUUUCUGUUUAUAGCCACUUGAAAGCAUGCACUUUUUUGUUUCUGUUUAUUUGAAAGCUAAUGUUGCACUUUUUUGUUUUUUGUUUAUUGCCACUUAAGCUAAUGUUGCACUUUAAAAUAAUUUUUAAAUAAAGUGUUUAAGUUCUA